rnacentral:rRNA from 1 species
UACGAAGGGGGCUAGCGUUGCUCGGAAUCACUGGGCGUAAAGGGUGCGUAGGCGGGUUUUUAAGUCAGGGGUGAAAUCCUGGAGCUCAACUCCAGAACUGCCUUUGAUACUGAAGAUCUCGAGUCCGGGAGAGGUGAGUAGAACUGCGAGUGUAGAGGUGAAAUUCGUAGAUAUUCGCAAGAACACCAGUGGCGAAGGCGGCUCACUGGCCCGGUACUGACGCUGAGGCACGAAAGCGUGGGGAGCAAACAGG